rnacentral:tRNA from 1 species
UCCAGGGUAGCCUAGUGGACAUGGCAACUACCUAGUCAGUGGAACACUGUGGGUUCGAUUCCCAUCCCUGGAC